UUGGAUCAAGGACACAUUUAAAACCUGCAGGACACCGGCCCUCGAGGCCUGGAGUUCCCCACCCCUGAUCUAAAUAAAUAAAGAACAAAUGGGAAACAAAGUAACUGAAAUCUAUCCGCUUGUAAAGGGUUACAAAGAUGUUUCUAAAGCUUUGAGAUGUCAGAAAACCAUUAUCCACAAAUAGAAAACACUGAGGAAGGUUCCCAGGAGUGGCUAGCCUACCAAAAUUACUCCAAGAUCACCUCAACAGCUCAUCCAAGAGGUCACAAAAGAACCCAGAACAUACUGUAAAGAAGUGCAUGCCUCAUUUGUUUUAGUUAAAAUCAGUCAAAGUUUUCAUGAUUUAACAAUAAGAAAGAGACUGGGCAAAAAUGUCAUCCAUGGAUUACGAAAAGGGUUAGGGUGUAGAACUAACACAGCAUUUCAUUAAAAGAAUAUCAAACCAGCAGUGAAACACGGUGGUGGUAGUGUGAUGGUCUCCUGCUUCUGCUGUAACUGGAACCAUGAAUUCUUCUCUGUACCAGAAAAUCCUAAAGUCCAGUUAUCGUUUCAAAUCUUCAAGCUCAAGUACACUUGGAUUAUGCAACAGAAUAAUGAUAAAAAAAAAAACAUAAGCAAGUCCACCAUUAAAUGGCUAAAAAAAGAAAACAAAAUUAAGGUUUUGGAAUGGCCUAGUCAAAGUUCAAACUUAAAUCUGAUUAGGAUGCUUUGGCAUAACAUUAAAAAAAGCUAUUCAUGCUAAAAAUCCUCUAGUGGGACUAAAUUAAAACAAUUCUGGAAAGAUAAGGUGGCCAAAAUUCCUCCACUGCGAUGUUAAACACUUGUGCCAGUUAUUGCAAACGCUUGAUUGCAGUUGGCAUAUAUAAUCGGAGACAUAUCAGUACUAAAUGUUAAAGCUAGGGAAGUGUCUGAUUAUACUCCCGAUCCAGAAGUGGGACAGUGGGGAUAGGCACUGUCUUGCUGAAACAGCCACAGGGUGCCGUACUGCUUCUACCUACUAUUGAAGCUGGAAAUCUAAAGACUAGAGCACAGUGGGAACAAUAGUAAGCAGUAUAAACAUAAUGAGCAAACCAAGUAAAAACAGGGCUGUUUAAUAUUUCGCAAAAUUUAUGACAAAACCACAACCCUUUGGUAGUUGAUGACAUCUUAAAAUCUGUGGGAAAAAGGACCAAAAUCCUACUCUACACUUUCUAAAUUGUGAACUUAACCACACACCCAAGCUUCCCUUGUGACCACUGAGAUAUAGAUGUCACAUAUCAGAUGCACUGAACCAACUACUGUCAGUGAACAGAAUCAAGGCAACAAUUACUUGUCCUCCAAACUGCAUUUGGAAAACCAAAUUAGUAGGGUAUGUACACAUAUUUAUAGUGAUGAGGUGGCACUAUAUUGGCAGGUUUACUACAAGGUU
ensembl:lncRNA